rnacentral:rRNA from 1 species
AAAUCUCCAACGAUUGACC